GCACUGCCCAGGCGGCACCCCUCCCCCUUUCCCACCCCGGGACUCGGCCUGGGCCCCCUGCGGGCUUAUGGAACCAGGAAUUCCCUUUUCCCUAACCCUAAUAGCAAUCAGAUGGCGCAAGUGGAAAAUCGCGACGCUCGGCGAGCGGGCUGGAAACUGGCGGGCUGCGGUACCGGGUGCCCGCGCUGCUCAGAGGGAGGAUGAGGCGGGGCCCCCUUCCCCUUGAGCCCCUGGUGGGGGGUCCUGGGAUGCAUUCAUGCCUGGGGCCCCCGCAGGCAUGGUAGGGGUAGGGGGUGCAGAGUGGGGAGUGCAGGAGCCAGCAGGGUGGCCAGGAGGAGGGGGUGGCAAGAGGGCUCCCCUCCUGCCUGGGGCCAACUUUCUCAGGGUCCAGGAAGCCCAAGGGAAUUCUGAGCUUUUCCUGUGGGAGCAUGGUGCCCCGACUGGGAGGGUUGUGCCUCUGUGGGCAUUCUGGAGGGAAAUGAGACUUGGAGCUGCCCCUGCACCUGCCCUGGGAGCUGCCCGCCUCCUGCUUGUCUUGGCCAUGUGCAAGCCUUAGUGUGGAAGAGGGAGCCUUGCACUGCUCCACUCGUGGUCCAGCUGGCCUCCUGGGGUCUGUUUUUCAGGGAUGGGGUGGGGAGGGGACUCUGGGAUCCUAGAGGCUCAAGGUCCACGCCCAAGGCUGAGAGAGAGGCUGGCAGGCGGCAGGCAGUGUGGUGACCUGUCCCCUCCUCUCCAGGGCAGCCAGCUGGGGCCCAGCUGGAACCCUUGUUUACAUGGGGAGGCCGGGGGAGGCUGAAUCCUGGCAAGUUCCAAGUGUAAUUGCGUUUGGACACUUAAAAGGAAUUGUGUGAAGUGGGCAGAGGCUCUGAAGUCCACCGCCUUAUUUGGUAUGGAAAUUUGUUUCUCUCAAAAUAAGCGAGAGGCGCUUGUGAAUGGGAAGGUCGUCCUGGCCUGGUGUGUGGAGUCCCCUUGCCGGGGGGCCUGGUGUGUCUGGCUGCUCGGGCGCAGGACUGCGGACUCGGGGGUUACGGGUGCAGGUGUUUGUUUCCUUUGGCUCCAGGGGCCGGAAGGCCAAGAUCAAGGGACCUGCAAAUUCAGCGUCUGCUAGAACCGUGGAGGGUGUAGAAGAGAAAAAGAAGAAGGUUCCUGCUGUGCCCGAAACCCUUAAGAAAAAGCAAAGGAUAGGCCGGGCGCGGUGGCUCAUGCCUGUAAUCCCAGCACUUUGGGAGGCCGAGGCGGGUGGAUCCCGAGGUCAAGAGAUCGAGACCAUCCUGGUCAACAUGGUGAAACCCCGUCUCUACUAAAAAUACAAAAAAUUAGCUGGGCAUGGUGGCGUGUGCCUGUAAUCCCAGCUACUCAGGAGGCUGAGGCAGGAGAAUUGCCUGAACCCAGGAGGCGGAGGUUGCGGUGAGCCGAGAUCGCGCCAUUGCACUCCAGCCUGGGUAACAAGAGCGAAACUCCAUCUCAAAAAAAAAAAAAAAAAAAAGCGAAGCAUCAUCACCGGGAAUACAGGCAGGUGUACAGAACUGAAAUUCGAAUGGCGAGGAUGGCAGGGAAAGCUGGCCACCUCUGUGCACCUGCAGAACCCAAACUGGCGUCUUUGAUCAGGACCAGAGGUAUUGAUGCUGUGAGCCCGAGGGUCCGAAAGGUGUUGCGGGGUCUUCCCCUUCGUCAGCUCUUCAGUGGAACCUCUGUGAAGCUCAACAAGGCUUCGGUUAACACGCUGAGGAUCGCAGAGCCACAGACUACAUGAGGGCACCCAGAUCUGAAGUCAGUAAAUGAACUAACCUACAAACGUGGUCAUGGCAAAAUCAAAAAGAAGCGAAUCGCUUUGAGAGAGAACGCUCGGAUUGCUCAGUCUCUUGGAAAACAGGGCAUCAUCUGCAUGGAGGAUCUGAUUCGUGAGAUCUAGACUGUUGGAAGACGCUUCAAAGAAGCAAAUAACUUUUUGUGGCCCUUUAAAUUAUCUUCUCCACGGGGCGGAAUGAAGAAAAAGACCCCCCAUUUCGUAGAAGGUGGAGACACUGGCAACAGGGAGGAGCAGAUCAAUAGGCUUUUAGAGGAAUGGACUAAAGCGUCUACCAUGAUUAAAAGGUUGAACCAAGGCCUAGCUGGCUUUCCUCAUAGUGAAAGGGACCUCUCCUUCAAUUCUGUUCCCCUCCUCCACUAGGCUGUACCUUUCUGUGUUGGAAGGUGCAUCUUAGGAAUCUCAGCAGAAGUCUACAUUCCCCUCUGUCCUGCAUGUGGUAGAACAUUCAUUUAUCCAUCCGUCCAUCUACCCACCCACUCAUCUACCCACCCAAUUACCCAUCUACCCACUCACCCAACCAUCCAUUUAUCUAUCCAUCCACCCAUCUACCCACCAAACCAUCCAUCCAUCCAUUUAUCCGUCCAUCCAUUUAUCU
rnacentral:lncRNA from 1 species